rnacentral:rRNA from 1 species
UCGGGAAUUUUGGGCAAUGGGCGAAAGCCUGACCCAGCAACGCCGCGUGAAGGAUGAAGUAUUUCGGUAUGUAAACUUCGUAAGAAUAGGAAGAAUAAAUGACGGUACUAUUUGUAAGGUCCGGCUAACUACGUGCCGGCAGCCGCGGUAAUACGUAGGGACCAAGCGUUGUUCGGAUUUACUGGGCGUAAAGGGCGCGUAGGCGGUGUGUCAAGUCAGUUGUGAAAUCUCCGAGCUUAACUCGGAACGGUCAACUGAUACUGUCACACUAGAGUACAGAAGGGGCAAUCGGAAUUCUUGGUGUAGCGGUGAAAUGCGUAGAUAUCAAGAGGAACACCUGAGGCGAAGGCGGGUUGCUGGGCUGAUACUGACGCUGAGGCGCGAAAGCUAGGGUAGCAAACGGGAUUAGAUACCCGUGUAGUCCCUGAGCGGGCUGGCAAGGCGCAU